UGAGGGAUUUUGCGCAAUGGGGGAAACCCUGACGCAGCAACGCCGCGUGAGUGAAGAAGGCCUUCGGGUCGUAAAGCUCUGUCGAGUAGAAAGAAGGUGCUGCAUAAUAAAAUGUGUAGUAUUGACGGUACUAUUAGAGGAAGCACCGGCUAACUCCGUGCCAGCAGCCGCGGUAAUACGGAGGGUGCGAGCGUUAUUCGGAAUUACUGGGCGUAAAGGGCGCGUAGGCGGUUAUUUAAGUCAGAUGUGAAAGCCCUAGGCUUAACCUGGGAAAUGCAUUUGAAACUGGGUAGCUAGAGUAUAGGAGAGGGGAGUGGAAUUCCUGGUGUAGAGGUGAAAUUCGUAGAUAUCAGGAGGAACACCGGUGGCGAAGGCGACUUCCUGGCCUAAUACUGACGCUGAGGCGCGAAGGUGUGGGGAGCAAACAGG
rnacentral:rRNA from 1 species